AAUGCACCAAUUUGUAAGUCGCUCUGGAUAAGCGCGUCUGCUAAAUGAUUUAAA
rfam:Salmo salar isolate Sally breed double haploid chromosome ssa13, whole genome shotgun sequence.